rnacentral:rRNA from 1 species
CCCUUAGAUGUUCUGGGCCGCACGCGCGCUACACUGACACGUUCAACAAGUUCCUUGGCCGAAAGGUCCGGGUAAUCUUUAAAACCGUGUCGUGAUGGGGAUAGAACAUUGCAAUUAUUGUUCUUCAACGAGGAAUGCCUAGUAAGCGUGAUUCAUCAAAUCGCGUUGAUUACGUCCCUGCCCUUUGUACACACCGCCCGUCGCUCCUACCGAUUGAGUGUGUUGGUGAGGAGUUCGGAUUGGCAGCAGGUGGUGGUUCGCCACCGCCUAUUGCUGAGAAGUUCUCCAAACCGCCCCACUUAGAGGAAGGAGAANUCGUAACA